AUAUUGCUUCGGGGUUGGGUGUGAUUCCCUACCGGCGGUAUAGUCCGCGAGCUGAUUUUCAGCAUGAACCGGUGUGAUUCCGGUACCGACAGUAAAGUCUGGAUGGUAGAAGCGCAGG
rfam:Butyrivibrio fibrisolvens DSM 3071 genome assembly, contig: EJ22DRAFT_scaffold00007.7